GACGAACGCUGUUGGCGUGCUUAACACAUGCAAGUCGAACGGAAAGGCCCUGCUUUUGUGGGGUGCUCGAGUGGCGAACGGGUGAGUAACACGUGAGUAACCUGCCCUUGACUUUGGGAUAACUUCAGGAAACUGGGGCUAAUACCGGAUAGGAGCUCCUGCUGCAUGGUGGGGGUUGGAAAGUUUCGGCGGUUGGGGAUGGACUCGCGGCUUAUCAGCUUGUUGGUGGGGUAGUGGCUUACCAAGGCUUUGACGGGUAGCCGGCCUGAGAGGGUGACCGGCCACAUUGGGACUGAGAUACGGCCCAGACUCCUACGGGAGGCAGCAGUGGGGAAUAUUGCACAAUGGGCGGAAGCCUGAUGCAGCAACGCCGCGUGCGGGAUGACGGCCUUCGGGUUGUAAACCGCUUUCGCCUGUGACGAAGCGUGAGUGACGGUAAUGGGUAAAGAAGCACCGGCUAACUACGUGCCAGCAGCCGCGGUGAUACGUAGGGUGCGAGCGUUGUCCGGAUUUAUUGGGCGUAAAGGGCUCGUAGGUGGUUGAUCGCGUCGGAAGUGUAAUCUUGGGGCUUAACCCUGAGCGUGCUUUCGAUACGGGUUGACUUGAGGAAGGUAGGGGAGAAUGGAAUUCCUGGUGGAGCGGUGGAAUGCGCAGAUACCAGGAGGAACACCAGUGGCGAAGGCGGUUCUCUGGGCCUUUCCUGACGCUGAGGAGCGAAAGCGUGGGGAGCGAACAGGCUUAGAUACCCUGGUAGUCCACGCUGUAAACGGUGGGUACUAGGUGUGGGGUCCAUUCCACGGGUUCCGUGCCGUAGCUAACGCUUUAAGUACCCCGCCUGGGGAGUACGGCCGCAAGGCUAAAACUCAAAGGAAUUGACGGGGCCCCGCACAAGCGGCGGAGCAUGCGGAUUAAUUCGAUGCAACGCGUAGAACCUUACCUGGGUUUGACAUGGAUCGGGAGUGCUCAGAGAUGGGUGUGCCUCUUUUGGGGUCGGUUCACAGGUGGUGCAUGGCUGUCGUCAGCUCGUGUCGUGAGAUGUUGUGUUAAGUCCCGCAACGAGCGCAACCCUUGUUCACUGUUGCCAGCACGUUAUGGUGGGGACUCAGUGGAGACCGCCGGGGUCAACUCGGAGGAAGGUGGGGAUGACGUCAAGUCAUCAUGCCCCUUAUGUCCAGGGCUUCACGCAUGCUACAAUGGCUGGUACAGAGAGUGGCGAGCCUGUGAGGGUGAGCGAAUCUCGGAAAGCCGGUCUCAGUUCGGAUUGGGGUCUGCAACUCGACCUCAUGAAGUCGGAGUCGCUAGUAAUCGCAGAUCAGCAACGCUGCGGUGAAUACGUUCCCGGG
rnacentral:rRNA from 1 species